UUUGUUUUUAUUCUGGGAACUAUAUCAUCUGUUUUCAAGAAUCAUAAGUGGUGGUUCUCAACUUGUUUGUGUGGUUCUCUUGUGUCAGCUAAUAAAUAAAUUUUAUCCUGUGAUCUAUGUCAGCUUCAAUGCAUUGAUGCUGUCCCAAGAUUCUGCUUGAAGAUUGUAGUUUCUCAUGCAAAUGGCAACAAUAUAUUUGUUCUUAAAGAUCGUGAGGUUGUGCAACUGAUAAAGACAAGAUGCUCCACCUUUUUGGAUAAUCACCCAGAGUUGAAUCAGGGAUCUUAUUGCAAAGUUGUUCCAUUGAAACUCAUUUCAAGUCUUUUGCACAAAAAAGUUGUAUUCAUGGUUGAUGCUAGGCCUGUGGGUUAUGAGAUGAAUCGAUCUGUAUAUAUUGUUCAACAAAUUUGGGAUGAUGCCUCUGUUAUUAAUGUUUUUGAGGCUGCUACUGAGAUGAAUGAGCAUAAGAUUCAUGUUUUGGUUGAUUCUAUGCCUGAAGUUGAAGAUGCUUUUAGCCAAUGUGGAAGCGAUCAUGAGGCUGUGGAAGAUUUAGAUGCUUUUUAGUUUAAUAUGUUAAGAUAGUACUUUAAGUUGUUGUUGUGCAUCAUCUUGAUGCUUUUUAGUGUAAUAUGCUCAGAUACUACUUUAAAUUGUUGUUUGAUUUGUAAUAUAAUGUUAGUCUUUUCUCAAUUCUAAUGUCGAUAUAUCUGUGAUAUUUAUAUAUUUAAUGA